rnacentral:rRNA from 1 species
CCUACGGGAGGCAGCAGUGAGGAAUAUUGGUCAAUGGGCGGGAGCCUGAACCAGCCAAGUCGCGUGAGGGAAGACGGUCCUAUGGAUUGUAAACCUCUUUAGGCGGGGAGCAAUGCCGGGCACGCGUGCCCGGAGGGAGAGUACCCGCAGAAUAAGCAUCGGCUAACUCCGUGCCAGCAGCCGCGGUAAUACGGAGGAGGCGAGCGUUAUCCGGAUUUAUGGGGUUUAAAGGGUGCGUAGGCGGAUUUUUAAGUCAGCGGUAAAAUGUCCGGGCUCAACCCGGGCCGGCCGUUGAAACUGGGGAUCUUGAGAGGGCGAGAGGUAGGCGGAAUGCGUGGUGUAGCGGUGAAAUGCAUAGAUAUCACGCAGAACUCCGAUUGCGAAGGCAGCAUACCGGCGCCCGACUGACGCUGAGGCACGAAAGCGUGGGGAUCGAACAGGAUUAGAUACCCUAGUAGUC